UACAGAGGUCUCAAGCGUUGUUCGGAUUCACUGGGCGUAAAGGGUGCGUAGGUGGCGCUGUAAGUCGGGUGUGAAAUUUCGGAGCUUAACUCCGAAACUGCAUUCGAUACUGCGGUGCUUGAGGACUGGAGAGGAGACUGGAAUUCAUGGUGUAGCAGUGAAAUGCGCAGAGAUCAUGAGGAAGACCAGUGGCGAAGGCGGGUCUCUGGACAGUUCCUGACACUGAGGCACGAAGGCCAGGGGAGCAAACGGG
rnacentral:rRNA from 1 species